UGCGUAGGCGGAUCAAUAAGUCAGUGGUGAAAUCUCUCGGCUCAACCGGGAAACUGCCAUUGAUACUGUUGAUCUUGAGUUCGGUUGAGGUAGGCGGAAUGUGUAAUGUAGCGGUGAAAUGCUUAGAUAUUACACAGAACACCAAUUGCGUAGGCAGCUUACUAGACCGACACUGACGCCGAGGCACGAAAGCGUGGGGAGCGAACAGGAUUAGAUACCCUGGUAGUCC
rnacentral:rRNA from 1 species